GUGGCUUCUCUAGAAAGGCUUGUUGCUUUGAUCUCGAAUCCUGGGUGACAUGCUUCAAAUUUUGCCUUUAAAAAGCCCUGGCAAAACGUUUCAGUUAUUACCAAAUUGCUUUCAAUGCCAUAUUGCGAAUGGUGGGGUGGAGACUUACAGGAAUCCUGAGAUCCAGCCUGAAAAAAAUGAAGGAAACUACAAAAAGGACUAGCCUUCGGCAUACAUUUUCUGGAACUUACCAACAUCUAGUUAGUGGAUUUACUCUUUUUUAUUAUUUUAUUUUUAGUCUCCCACUACAGAUGGCCAGACACACUAGCCAAAACUUCUCCUGGCUGCUCCCAUUGCCGCUAAACCUUAAGAUUUACCUUUUUUUUCAUGAAGAAGUUGAGCUCUGUUCUUUUUCACUUUUAACAAUUUGGACUACUUCAUUUUUACUAGCUCACUUGACUAAAACACUUCCUUUUAGAUGUUUUUCCCUACUUGGAAUAGUGUGUUUUGGAAACUAAUGUGCUCACACGCUGCUCUCCGUGAGCCGCAUGUGUCUGCUGUUAAAACCUUAUUCUUUUGACUGCCUGUAAAAAAGGCCCCAGGGUGGGAUGCUGAAAGCUGCCUGGAUCUUGGAGGUCUGUAACUGAUAGCCAUGUAUUUCAGGCCAACAGGACUACUUACAUACUCAUCCUUUUUGUAAGCACCUGGAUAUUAAAAUAA